rnacentral:rRNA from 1 species
UACAGAGGUCUCAAGCGUUGUUCGGAUUCAUUGGGCGUAAAGGGUGCGUAGGCGGCGCGGUAAGUCGGGUGUGAAAUCUUGGAGCUUAACUCCGAAACUGCAUUCGAUACUGCCCGUGCUUGAGGACUGGAGAGGAGACUGGAAUUUACGGUGUAGCGGUGAAAUGCGUAGAUAUCGUAAGGAAGACCAGUGGCGAAGGCGGGUCUCUGGACAGUUCCCUGACGCUGAGGCACGAAGGCCAGGGGAGCAAACGGG